GGUCCGGUAGCUCAGCGGUAGAGCGGUGCGGAAUAUGAAACGGUUCAUACAACUCGCACGGUCGGCAGUUCGAUUCUGUCCCGGACUACAA
rnacentral:tRNA from 1 species